GAUGAACGCUAGCUACAGGCUUAACACAUGCAAGUCGAGGGGUAAUGAGAGGAAAGCUUGCUUUCCUUGUCGACGACCGGCGCACGGGUGAGUAACGCGUAUCCAACCUGCCCCCAACUAGGGAAUAACCUUGCGAAAGUAAGACUAAUACCCUAUAAUUUCCUCAGAUGACAUCUGACGAGGAAUAAAGAUUUAUCGGUUGUGGAUGGGGAUGCGUCUGAUUAGCUUGUUGGCGGGGUAACGGCCCACCAAGGCAACGAUCAUUAGGGGUUCUGAGAGGAAGGUCCCCCACAUUGGAACUGAGACACGGUCCAAACUCCUACGGGAGGCAGCAGUGAGGAAUAUUGGUCAAUGGGCGGAAGCCUGAACCAGCCAAGUAGCGUGCAGGAUGUCGGCCCUAUGGGUUGUAAACUGCUUUUAUACAGGAAUAAAGUUAGCCACGUGUGGUUAUUUGUAGGUACUGUAUGAAUAAGGACCGGCUAACUCCGUGCCAGCAGCCGCAGUAA
rnacentral:rRNA from 1 species